rnacentral:lncRNA from 1 species
AAGGUGGAGAUGAGUGGCCGAGACGCGCACGGACAAGGCGGAGAUGAGUGGCCGAGACGCUAACAGACAGACAAGGCGGAGAUGAGUGGCCGAGACGCUAACAGACAGACAAGGCGGAGAUGAGUGGCCGAGAUGCUAACAGACAGACAAAGCGGAGAUGAGUGGCCGAGAUGCUAACAGACAGACAAGGCGGAGAUGAGUGGCCGAGAUGCUAACAGACAGACAAGGCGGAGAUGAGUGGCCGAGAUGCUAACAGACAGACAAGGCGGAGAUGAGUGGCCGAGACACGCACAGACAGACAAGGUGGAGAUGAGUGGCCGAGACGCUAACAGACAGACAAGGCGGAGAUGAGUGGCCGAGACGUGCACGGACAGACAAGGUGGAGAUGAGUGGCCUAGAUGCUAACAGACAGACAAGGCGAAGAUGAGUAUCCGAGACGUGCACAGACAGACAAGGUGGAGAUGAGUGGCCGAGACGCACACGGACAGACAAGGCGGAGAUGAGUGGCCGAGACGCGCCACGGACAGACAAGGUGGAGAUGAGGGGCCGAGAUGCAAACGAACAGACAAGGUGGAGAUGAGGGGCCGAGAUGCUAACAGACAGACAAGGCGGAGAUGAGUGGCCGAGACGCUAACAGACAGACAAGGCGGAGAUGAGUGUCCGAGACAGCGCACGGACAGACAAGGUGGAGAUGAGUGGCCGAGACGCUAACAGACAGACAAGGUGGAGAUGAGUGGCCGACACACGCGGACAGAGAAAGGCGGAGAUGAGUGGCCAAGACGCGCACGGACAGACAAGGCGAAGAUGAGUGGCCGAGACGCGCACGGACAGACAAGGCGAAGAUGAGUGGCCAAGACGCGCACGGACAGACAAGGUGGAGAUGAGGGGCCGAGAUGCUAACAGACAGACAAGGCGGAGAUGAGUGGCCGAGACGCUAACAGACAGACAAAGGCGGAGAUGAGUGUCCGAGACAGCGCACGGACAGACAAGGUGGAGAUGAGUGGCCGAGACGCUAACAGACAGACAAGGUGGAGAUGAGUGGCCGACACGCAGCGGACAGAGAAAGGCGGAGAUGAGUGGCCAAGACGCGCACGGACAGACAAGGCGAAGAUGAGUGGCCGAGAGCGCCACGGACAGACA